rnacentral:rRNA from 1 species
AUUGAACGCUGGCGGCAGGCCUAACACAUGCAAGUCGAACGAGUGGCGGACGGGUGAGUAAUGUCUGGGAAACUGCCUGAUGGAGGGGGAUAACGACAGGAAACGGUAGCUAAUACCGCAUACCAUCAGAUGUGGCCAGAUGGGAUUAGCUGGUUGGGUGGGUAACGGCUCACCAAGGCGACGAUCCCUAGCUGGGCUGAGAGGAUGGCCGACCCCCCCAGAACUGUGACCAGGUCCGGACUCCUCUGGGAGGCGGCGUUGGGGAAGAUUGCACAAUGGGAGCAAGGCAGAUCCAGCCCUGCCGCGUGUAUGAAAGAGUCCUUCGGGUUGUAAAGUACUUUCAGCGGGGUGGCUUUACCCGAAGAAGAAGCACCGGCUAACUCCGUGCCAGCAGCCGCGGUAAUAC